rnacentral:tRNA from 1 species
GUUCCCGUGGUGUAGUGGUUAUCACAUGCGCUUCACACGCGCAAGGUCCCCAGUUCAAUCCUGGGCGGGAACU